AAAGAGUGUAGUUUUACAUUGUUCAUAUUCAACGUUUGACCGUCCGUCUUAUUUGAAAAAAAAUGUAAUUAGUAUUUUUGUUGAUAGUAGAUGAUAAAACAUAAAUCGUAUUUUAUGUACGACUAUUUUUUUUAAUUUUUUCGUAUUAUUUUUCAAAUAAGCCGGAUGAUCCAACAUUAAAUACGAAAGCCCACAGUUGCACUUGAA
rfam:Oryza meridionalis cultivar OR44 (W2112) chromosome 5, whole genome shotgun sequence.